UGUGGUUCCACUGCCCGCCGCUCACCCAGUCCGUGUAGAAGCCGCCGUAGAGCCGGUGCAGGCAGUUGUCGGCGUCGAUGAGGAGGCGCAGCGGGGUCUGAGGGGGCCGCUGGCGGCCCCCACCCACGAGGCUGCCCCGCGCCAGCUUCUGCAGCUCGACGGGCACCACGGCGCUGGGGCAGUGCUUCUCGAUGUAGUCCUGGAAACCCUGCACUCCCAUGAAAUGGCAGUGGCGGCCGUCAUUUGCAAAUAACAGUUAAAGGCUGUCUUCACCUCGUCCGCAACGGAACAUUUACUGCUGCCGGUAAAACCUGAAGAUGAUUUUGAUGGUCUUGCCACCUUGAAUAGAUUUAAGGUGGCUGCUGGUACCUCGAGUCUUGCAGUUCUCAGCUUAGCUAAACUCUUGCCGUGACUGGUAAAUGAGCAUAAAUAAAGUCUUUUGGGGAAGAAACCUGUUCUUUUUCUGCAGAAGUAAUGAGGAGUUACUUUUAUUUAGUUUCAGACAGAAGAAAUUAUUUUCAAAGGACUGUUCCCAAGCCUCAGAGUUGAAUGCAGUUUGCCUUUGAAAUAAUAACGUUGCAUCUGAGUGGUUACCUGCUCUGCAGGUGUCAAGAAAACAUUAAAUUGCAUAUGCUGUAUAUUCACAUUAAUACUUUAUUAACCAGGAAAACAUGUAUUGUUAAUGAGAUUUCAGUCAGGCUGGAUUGACACCUACAGUAAAUAUUCCCACUGGGGAAUAGCUGUUUUCUUGAGUGGGUUGGUUUGUUCUCAGGCAGUGCAGCACUAGCGCAAGGCUGCUCGGUGCAUGUUUGUAUCCAAGACUGGUACAGCUUAAGGAUGGUGAAAUAAAGAAUACUGAAAAAGUUAUGGUCAA